GACGUAGGUGGCGAACGUUAUCCGGAAUUAUUGGGCGUAAAGGGUGCGUAGGCGGCAUGAUAAGUUAUUGGCGGGAAAUCGAGGCUCAACCUCGUGGAAACUAAUAAUACUGUUUUGCUUGAGUACAGUAGAGGUUAACGGAACUCCAUGUGGAGCGGUAAAAUGUGUAGAUAUAUGGAAGAACAUCAAUAACGGCGAAGGCAGUUAACUAUUCUGUUACUGACGUUGAGGCACGAAAGCGUGGGGAGCAAAACGG
rnacentral:rRNA from 1 species